rnacentral:rRNA from 1 species
AGAGACAGCAGUCGCCGCGGAAUACGAAGGGGGCUAGCGUUGUUCGGAUUUACUGGGCGUAAAGCGCACGUAGGCGGACUUUUAAGUCAGGGGUGAAAUCCCGGGGCUCAACCCCGGAACUGCCUUUGAUACUGGAAGUCUUGAGUAUGGUAGAGGUGAGUGGAAUUCCGAGUGUAGAGGUGAAAUUCGUAGAUAUUCGGAAGAACACCAGUGGCGAAGGCGGCUCACUGGACCAUUACUGACGCUGAGGUGCGAAAGCGUGGGGAGCAAACAGGAUUAGAUACCCCUGUAGUCCCUGUCUCUUAUACA